rnacentral:tRNA from 1 species
GGAGAGGUGGCAGAGCGGUUGAAUGCACCGGUCUUGAAAACCGGCAGGGGUUCACGCCCCUCGUGGGUUCGAAUCCCACCCUCUCCG